rnacentral:rRNA from 1 species
GAUGAACGCUGGCGGCGUGCCUAAUACAUGCAAGUCGAGCGAACAGAUGAGGAGCUUGCUCCUCUGACGUUAGCGGCGGACGGGUGAGUAACACGUGGAUAACCUACCUAUAAGACUGGGAUAACUUCGGGAAACCGGAGCUAAUACCGGAUAAUAUAUUGAACCGCAUGGUUCAAUAGUGAAAGACGGUUUUGCUGUCACUUAUAGAUGGAUCCGCGCCGGAUUAGCUUGUUGGUGAGGUAACGGCUUACCAAGGCAACGAUGCGUAGCCGAACGGAGGGGGUGGGCAGCCAGACUGGGACUGAGACAGGGUACAGACGCACUCGGGAGGCAGCAGUAGGGCAACUUCCGCAAGGGGCGGAAGCCUGACGGAGCAACGCCGCGUGAGGAAGGAAGGACGUCGGAUCGUAAAACUCUGUUAUUAGGGAAGAACAAAUGUGUAAGUAACAAUGCGCGUGUUGGAGGUAACUAGGCAGAAAGCCACGGGUAACUUCGGGC